rnacentral:rRNA from 1 species
UAUGCACGCUGGCGGCGUGCCUAAUACAUGCAAGUCGAGCGAACGGACGAGAAGCUUGCUUCUCUGAUGUUAGCGGCGGACGGGUGAGUAACACGUGGAUAACCUACCUAUAAGACUGGGAUAACUUCGGGAAACCGGAGCUAAUACCGGAUAAUAUUUUGAACCGCAUGGUUCAAAAGUGAAAGACGGUCUUGCUGUCACGUAUAGAUGGAUCCGCGCUGCAUUAGCUAGUUGGUAAGGUAACGGCUUACCAAGGCAACGAUGCAUAGCCGACGUGAGAGGGUGAUCGGCCACCCGGGAACUGAACCACGGUCCAGACUCCUACGGGAGGCAGCAGUAGGGAACCUUCCGCAAUGGGCGAAAGCCUGACGUAGCAACGCCGCGUGAGUGAUGAAGGUCUUCGGCUCGUAAAACUCUGUUAUUAGGGAAGAACAUAUGUGUAAGUAACUGUGCACAUCUUGACGGUACCUAAUCAGAAAGCCACGGCUAACUACGUG